AUGGGGAGAACAUGUGUUUAUGUUCAUCAUGUGGAUAAAGAGGCCUUUUUGAAAGGCAAUGUUGAGACGGAUCCGGAUGAGCUUGACAUGGUGUUUGAGAGUAGUCCUAGCUAUGCGGAGCUUUUGGAACAAGUGAGGAAAGAUUUGAAUUGGAUGGACCCAAGUGACGUUGUUGAGUUCGAGGGAAGGCAUAAUGUUGGUUUUGGAAUGCAUAUGCGUUGGAAGACAAUGCGUGUGAACUCCGAGCAACGUUGGGUUGCAUACAAGGAGACGGUUGCCGAAUCUCUAGACAAGGCUCUUGAGUUAUUUGCCUCCAAGAAGGUUGAGUCUACUUUGAAUUUAGACUUGAACCGGAACCCCUCCCCGUUGGUUGCUAGCACUCCCCCACCCAUGAACCAAGAUCAAAUGAGUGAACCUCAAUUCACGCAACAAGAUUGGCCAACAUUGAGCCCGACUCCAAACAACCAAAAUGAAGGUUUUGAAGAGGAGAAUGAUGAGUACGAGGAGGAUGACAACGAAGUUGACCUCCAUGACAACAAUGUGGGUGAUCUCGACCAAUAUCAUGUGCAAGAGACAAUGGACCAAUGCAUCCCUUUUUCCCGUGCAUAUGCAUCGGACUCGGAUGACGAUGGUCCCGAUGAAGAAGUUGAUGAGGAGGGGUUCACGCCGAAGGAGGCCCAAGCAUUCAAGAAGGUAUUCGGGCGGGAUCACAAGACACCAUUGUUCAAGGAUCUUAGUCUCACGGAUGAAGCCGUUGUGGAUGGUGGCAAAUGCAUAUCUCUUGGAGCUAGGCCAAGUUCUCUCCGUGAUUUGGAAGAUGGCAAGAACGGGAUAUAUCCCGGUUGUGAGAUUCAAUCCUUCUUGCAAUUGAAGAUGUGGAUCGACAACUACUCGGUUACACAUUAUCGUCCACAUAAAGUGGCCAACUCGGACGUGAAUGUGCGUUACACGGUCAAAUGUGAAGUGCCAACAUGUCCAUGGAUUGUGCGUGCAAGGCCAUGGAAAGGAGGUCCCACUUGGCGCAUAGUGAGUUGUCUACCAACUCACAUGUACCGGCACAAGAAUGCGGAUGGCAAGCUUAUGUACCAACAACACAGACAACUCACGUACGAGUUCAUUGCUUAUAGGCUGUCCAACCAAAUAUCCACACUUCCAAUAAUGAGCAUCAAGAGUGUCAUUGACCUUGUGAAAGCCAUCUUUCAUUACAAGGUGAAGUACGGCAAGGCAUGGAAGGCGAAGCAAGCCGCAUUCAAGAUGUUGUAUGGCAAUUGGGAGGAAGCAUACAACCGACUCCCUAGGUUGUUGUUAGCUAUGGCCACCACAAACCUAGGCAUGGUUCACGUGGUUGAGCCUCAUGGGCACCAAACAUUGAUUCAUAACGGGGGGACCGUCCGAGUAUUUGACCGUGCAUUUUGGGCCUUUGAGCAAUGCGUGAGGGCUUUUGAGCAUUGUCAGCCCGUCAUCGCCAUUGAUGGCACGUUCUUGACCGGACAAUACAAGGGCACUUUAUUGGUUGCAAUAGCAAGUGAUGCCAAUAACCGGGUGUUGCCUUUGGCUUUCGCUUUGGUUGAGGUGGAGAACAAUGAUAACUGGGAGUGGUUCUUUCGUCAACUGAGAACAAGGGUAUUACCAGCUGAAAGGGAAAUUUGUGUCAUAUCGGAUCGCCAUCCUGGAAUUCUAAAUGCGGUGGUGGUUGACAUUCCCGGACAUACAAAGUUGCAUCAUCGAUGGUGCAUGAGGCACUUUUGUGCAAACUUCUAUAGGGCAUGUGGUAUUAAGGAGUUGGCCGAUGAUCUUCAGGAUUGUUGUCUCGCUUUCACCAACAAGCGGUUUUCCACAUUGUUCAAUGCAUUGAUCAGACACAAGAAACUUGACCCCAGCGGUCAGGAGUUUCUCAAUAGGAACAUUGCCGGAAGGAAUAUGUGGGCACGUGCUUUCGAUGAAGAUGGCUGGAGGUACGGUCAAAUGACAAGCAAUAUGGCAGAAUGCUUCAAUAAGGUGCUCAAGGGUGUACGUGCAUUACCUGUGACGGCAAUAGUUCAAUACACAUUUGACAAGAUGAAUGAAUACUUUUUAAAGUACUCAAUGGAGACUGAUAAGCAGAUUGCUGGUGAGAACAAGGAUAAGCACAAGUACAAUUUCCCACCAAAGGUUGAAGAAUGGUUGGAAUUUCAAUCACGAAAGGCAGACUCCGAAGAAGCUGUACUAUAUGACGACAACGAGUGGAAGUAUGAGGUGAAAGAGCCCGGAGGAACCACAAACGAUGGCCGCCAACGCGGAGGCCGGGCUUUCAAGGUCUCCCUAACACGGUGUGAUUGCAGCUGCAUGAGGCCAUCGUUGCUUCAUCUCCCAUGCUCGCACUUGUUAAAUGCAUCCCGGGUUAGGAAUGUGGACGUCAAUCACCCUCUUACUAUGAGGGAGUCUGAGUUCUCAAUCAUGACGGUAAAGAAUACAUGGACUCCACGGUUCCAGCCAUACUCGGACCAAUCACAAUGGCCGGAGUAUCAUGGAGUUCAACUAUGGCCGGACCCGGAAUUGAAGGUCGUUAGACGGUGA
rnacentral:rRNA from 1 species